UCCCCCCCCCCCCCCCCCCCAUGGUGUUUAGAUCUACACUUAAAAUGCAAUAUGUUUUUUAAAAAAAGACAUAAUGUUUUGUAACAAACCAAACAAAAAACAAAACUUUGUGCUCAACUGAAAACUUGUGUUCGAACUCAGGAUUGUGUCUUGUUAUCAUAACAUGCUCAAAGCAUUUGUUGGCUUCUCUGGUUACCAUAGUGACAUCUUUAGUUCUGAGAUAUUCUUUGUUUACAUAAAUAUUUACGCCAAGAAACGAAACAAAAAUAUUAUUUUUGUUAGUUUUCAAUUUGUGGAUAUUUUUUUUUUCUUCAGAUUUUAUUAUCUUUACAUGGUAUUAUUCAGUUUUGAUGUUUCUAGAUCAUGUCAAUGAUGGAGAAGUUUCUGAGACCAGAUUGGAAGGACUGGUUUUUUUUUAAUGUGAUUUUCAUUUUCUGUAUUAAAAUAAUUGCUUGAUUGAUCAACACUCCAUCCAUCAUUGACAGUUGAUAUUAACUUUUGUCUUUUUUUUUUUAAUAUGAAUCUAUUAAAGCAACUUGUUGAUUAAUUUACUGGCUGAUGGUUAAUGAUAGAAUGUCAUUGUAAUGAUUGGCCUCACAUUAGCUGUAUUGGUGAUAUGUAUAUUUUAUUGCUAUCUAAACAGUUCCUAUCUGAACCAGGUUCAAGGUCUAACAGGAUCUAAAUGUACAAGAUUUUUUUUGUGUAGAGACAUCUGCUUGAGUUUUAGUGUAGAGAUACUCUGUGUGUGUGUGUGUGGCGUGCGUAGCUUGUGUGAACAGUGUUUUGGCAUGGACCACUGUGUUGGGUUUAAAGACUAAACAUUCUAUUUCAAUUUGUUUAUGUGGAACAUUUAUACAUUUCAUAUGUUUCAAGAUUAAAAUAUUUUACAAUCUGUC